rnacentral:rRNA from 1 species
UACGGGGGGGGUAAGCGUUGUUCGGAAUUACUGGGCGUUAAAGGGCUCGUAGGCGGCCAACUAAGUCAUACGUGAAAUCCCUCAGCUUAACUGGGGAACUGCGUGUGAUACUGGAUGGCUUGGAUUUGGGAGAGGGAUGCGGAAUUCCAGGUGUAGCGGUGAAAUGCGUAGAGAUCAGGAGGAACACCCGUGGCGAAGGCGGCCCUCUGGCUCGACCCUGACGCUGAGGCGCGAAAGCGUGGGGAGCGAACGGG